rnacentral:sRNA from 1 species
GACUUGACUGUAAGUGUUGCUCUCCAACUCUUGCAACUCAUUUCUGACCAGUUGAACAGUUUGGUUUUAUAAAACAAAUUAUAAUUUGGUCAGAAUUUUGAAUAAUUUGCAAUAUGUGGAGAGCAACACUAACAGUCAAGUC